UGGGAUAGAUCAGUUGGCAGAGCAUGAGACUCUUGUUUGCAAGGCCAUGGGUUCGAGCCCCAUGUUGGAGAAAAG